AGUGGAUGGUGUGCUGGAGAUGUGUUCUUGAAGCAAGAUGGGAUGUUCCCAAUACCAUUUCCUGAAAAGAGCACCUUUUCCAAACGCUUUCAGAAAAAUCUAUGGCUACCUGGAAGCUCA